CGCAGCGUCAUUGGUUACUGGUUCUGUCAGUCUGUAAAAAGGGCUGGAAUAGUGCACGCGGUCCCAGAUCUAUUGAGAGAAAAGCAAAUCAGCCGCUUGAUGAUCAGAAGCGGGAGCUGCAAGUCAGUCAGGAUACCAUCUCCGUGGCGUUGCUGGCAAUGCCUGGUUGCUGUAAUUGUGCCUCAUCAGUUUUAGACGCAACAGAUGUGAUGCAUUAUUAUUAAUGUAGAGUAUGUGCAGACCUGGAUAAUGUUAUGGAACCCCAGGACGGUCCUGGUUUCGUCUCCUUCUGAACCAGCGCUCCACUUGUCUACCAGACCAGCUGCAUUUUUUGCACAGGCCGUCAAUAUCUGCCUGAUAAGAGAUCGAAGAGAGCAGAAGGCUAAGUCAAGAAAUAUUGUAGAUCAUCUUGUGUUAGAAAAGAGGCAUGUUGAUUUUAGUAUAACUGUUUAUGCUUCAUAAUUCUGGUUUUAUUUUACCAAAUGCUACCAAAAAUAAAUACGUAAAUACUUAAAAAUAAAAAUAAAGUAUUUUCAAGUGUCUCAAAUGUUAUAAGGGUGUACAAUUGAAUAAAUAUUCAAUUUAAUACCUACAAAUAUAUUAAAAAAAAAAAAAUUAAAAACACAUCAAAUCAGACUCUUACAUAAAAGCAUUAAAUCAGUUUCUGAAGGGGGAAAAAUGCUUCAUUACGAACCUCAAGCACUUGAUCUGGGUUGAUGGUUUAAUCUAAUAAAUAAUUAUUUAUAAUAUAUUUAACAAUACAACCUAAAUCUUACAUAUAGUUAAAUUUACUGUGUAUGGUGGAUAAAAAUAAAACAAUUAAAAAAAUGGGAAACAAAUCCUAAAUAUGUGACCCUGGAGCACAAAACCAGUCUUAAGUCGCUGGGGUAUAUUUGUAGCAAUAGCCAACAAUACAUUGUAUGGGUCAAAAUUAUCGAUUUUUCUUUUAUGCCAAAAAUCAUUGGGAUAUUAAGUAAAGAUCAUGUUCCAUGAAGAUAUUUUGUAAAUUUCCUACCAUAAAUAUAUCAAAACUUAAUUUUUGAUUAGUAAUAUGCAUUGCUAAGAACUUCAUUUGGACAACUUUAAAGGUGAUUUUCUCAAUAUUUAGAUUUUUUGCACCCUCAGAUUCCAGAUUUUCAAAUAGUUGUAUCUCGGCCAAAUAUUGUCCGAUCCUAACAAACCAAACAUCAAUUGAAAGCUUAUUUAUUCAUCUGUCAGAUUUUUAAAACAUGACCCUUAUGUGGUCCAGGGUCACAUAUGUGAUCUAGAUGGAACCGAGUUCAAUUCAAAUUUCCAAAGAAGCUUUGUGAAAAACCUUGUCUUAAUGUCUAAAACAGUGAUUCUCUCCAGUGAUCAAGCCAAAGGCGACUUUGAAUCUGAUGUGGAUCUGUGAUAUU